AUUGAACGCUGGCGGAAUGCUUUACACAUGCAAGUCGAGCGGCAGCACGGGGGCAACCCUGGUGGCGAGCGGCGAACGGGUGAGUAACACAUCGGAACAUGCCCAGUCGUGGGGGAUAACACUUCGAAAGAAGUGCUAAUACCGCAUACGUCCUGAGGGAGAAAGCGGGGGAUCGCAAGACCUCGCGCGAUUGGAGUGGCCGAUGUCAGAUUAGCUAGUUGGUGGGGUAAAGGCCUACCAAGGCAACGAUCUGUAGCUGGUCUGAGAGGAUGAUCAGCCACACUGGGACGGAGACCCGGCCCAGACCCCUACGGGGGGCCGCAGUGGGGAAUUUUGGACAAGGGGGGCAACCCUGACCCAGCCAUUCCGGGUGGGUGAAGAAGGCCUUCGGGUUGGAAAGCUCUUUGGGCAGGAACGAAAGGGGGGGCUCUAACAUAGCUUGCUAAUGACGGUACCUGAAGAAGAAGCACCGGCUAACUACGG
rnacentral:rRNA from 1 species